GUCCGGAUUAGCUGAGAGGUGGUGCAUGGCCGUCGUCAGUUCGUACUGUGAAGCAUCCUGUUAAGUCAGGCAACGAGCGAGACCCACGCCCACAGUUGCCAGCGUACUCUCUGGAGUGACGGGUACACUGUGGGGACCGCCGCUGCUAAAGCGGAGGAAGGAAUGGGCAACGGUAGGUCAGUAUGCCCCGAAUAUCCCGGGCUACACGCGAGCUACAAUGGUUGGUACAAUGGGUAUCUACCCCGAAAGGGGACGGGAAUCUCCUAAAACCAAUCUUAGUUCGGAUUGAGGGCUGCAACUCGCCCUCAUGAAGCUGGAAUCCGUAGUAAUCGCGUUUCAACAGAACGCGGUGAAUACGUCCCUGCUCCUU
rnacentral:rRNA from 1 species